AGUCCUCUUGCCGCCUGCCCUCCGCCUUGUCUGCUCCAGGGAAAACUUUAAAAAGUCCUCCCUCCCUCACCCCGGUCAUUAGAGUUGGGAUCUCUGCCCAGCUUCCUGAUUUCUUUUGUCCCCUUGGAAUUCUUCUGCCCUAUGGUUUUAGAAAACAAGUUGAACCUUUCCAGGGCUCCAGAGAGGAGGCCUGCACCCCACCCUGGCCCUCUGAGUGGUGGUAAAAAUGCCUCACAUUCCUGGGUUAAGAGGCUGGCUUUUUUUUUUUUAAACUGCUCAGCACUGGGAUGACCCAGGGGAGCAAUGGGAAGUGAGAAGGAUCCCCUCACACGUCCUCAGCUCCCUGGCACCCCAGGACUGCGCAGGGCCAGCGGGCUGGCAGGAAAGGCCGGACCCCAUGGGGACCCAGAGAAAGAGGUGCCAGAGCCCCUGAAUGGUAAAGAGCACGUCCGCAGGGCUUCUGUGGGCACAGUGGUGGUGCCCGGCACCAGUCUCCAGGGUGGCCCCUCCGGGCGUCCUGUAGGAUUCUUGUUAGAGGCCCCACAAUGCUGAGCCUGGCCUGGCACCCAGCAGGUGCUGCGUAAUGGUUCAUGGCAGGAUGGGUAAACUGCGUGAGGGGUAGAUAUGGGGUGUCAGAUUUGAUCUCUGGGAGGGGUGCUUCUGUGUUGGGGCUUCUGUGACCUGCUGCAGGCCAGACAUCCAGACUCCAAGUGACUCCAUUUACAGCCCUGUGACUGCAUGGAUCACAGAUCACAGAUGAAGGGGCCGCAGCCAGAGAGGGUAAGUAACUCACUCAAGGGCGCACAGCAGGUAAACGCAGGGGUCCGUGGGUAUGUAUGAGGAGUCUGGAAUGCACCUCCUUUGGGAACGGGAAGUAGGAGCAAAGGCCUGGGUCGGGGCAGCCAUGUGAGAUCCUUGGGGAAACCAGAAGGCUCAGAGCUGUGAGGCUGCCUGGCAGGAGAGGGGCAAGACAUCUGGGGACAGGCCGGCAGGCGCUGGGUUAAGUGGGGCCCAGAGGUCACGGUGAGGAGUUUGCACUUUGCUGUGUCAAAUCUGUCAGACCUCUAGGUCGCAUGUCCUUUGGAGAGAUGCUUUGCUGCUAGCAGAUUCCCGGGAACACUGCGUGCUGACCGCUGGUAAAGCCCUCGGGCAGUCAGAUCGCAGGAUGGCCCUGGUCCUCCUGGGGUCCAAGGUGCUCAGCCUGCUCUGGGACAGUGGACUGUUUGCUCAGUUUGCCCCCAGAAGUGCAAUGGGAUGGGUGCAGGGGCAGCAGUGACCUGGGCCAGGGCCAGGGCACCCCAGUCCUACCCAGAUCUCAAGCUCUACUCUGCAAAUUCGGAGACCCCAGGCAGUCUCUGGGGCACUCCUGUCCACCUGGAGUGACACUGGCUCAACACGACAACGGCCGCCUACUCAGCACUUGUGGCGGAUGACCUUGGUGACUCAGCAUCCAGCUGCUGGUCACACCCUUCUGUCACCAUUUUCCCAGAUGCUAGGAAAAUGACAAAGACAGCCAAGCCUCCAAAUCUGGGUGGCUCUUUAACAUUCUGCAAAAUGCGACUGCAAACCUGAUUUGUCCUGAUCCCCACACAAAUCCAGAAGCCAGGUGGACACGAUUUGUCCUCCUAUUUAAAGAUGAAGAAAUGGAGAAGCCAAGUAUAGAAGAGGCAGCUUGCUCAGGAUUUGUUCACACUUGGGACCAAGUAAGACAUUCACGGCAAUUUUAGACCCUUUGUUUGGUCAGGUGCUGGCUUACUAUCUUUUUUUUUUUUUUUUUUUUGACAGAGUUGAUUUGUGGCCCAGAUUGGGCUUAAACUUGGAACCCUUCUGGCUCCGCCUCCUGGGUGCUGGCAUUACAGGGUUGUUGGGAAGAUUUAAACAAGUCUGGCUGCAGGAUGUUAGUGGACAGAGCUGGCCACUGGAAUUCCAACCCAGACUAAAGCAUCUAACUGCUGUGUGACCUGGGGCACAUGACCUCCCCACUCUGAGCUUUUCAUAGGCCAAAAGUGACUGAGAUGGCUUUUGUGCUCACCCCUGUAUACACCUGGAAAGAGACGGAAGGGCUCCACGGGUCCUUCCAAGUCUUUGGUGAGAGAGGAAUUUACGGAGGGGACGAAGGACAACACAUUGCAUGCACAGUCUGCGCACAGAGUCACCCUCUCUGAUCCCAUGUGCUCCCUCCCAGCCGGCAGAGCGCUGCACCCUUUCCCCAGGUGCUGACAUUAGGCUUCUCCGUCUCUGUGUCUCCCUCUCCCUUGCCCAGAACUUCUGGGGUCUGCGCUUGGAUCUGCCAGCCGGCCCCAGGAAGCUGUUUGCAUCUUUGCCCAGAAUAAAGUUUCUGAACUCUC